rnacentral:rRNA from 1 species
UACGUAGGGGGCAAGCGUUGUCCGGAUUUAUUGGACGUAAAGAGCGUGUAGGCGGCUUUACAGGUCCGUUGUGAAAACUCGAGGCUCAACCUCGAGAGGUCGGUGGAAACCGUCUGGCUAGAGUCCGGAAGAGGAGAGUGGAAUUCCCGGUGUAGCGGUGAAAUGCGCAGAUAUCGGGGAAGAACACCCGUGGCGAAGGCGGCUCUCUGGGACGGUACUGACGCUGAGACGCGAAAGCGUGGGGAGCGAACAGG